rnacentral:rRNA from 1 species
GAUGAACGCUGGCGGCGUGCCUAAUACACGCCAGUCGAGCGAACAGAUGAGGAGCUUGCUCCUCUGACGUUAGCGGCGGACGGGUGAGUAACACGUGGAUAACCUACCUAUAAGACUGGGAUAACUUCGGGAAACCGGAGCUAAUACCGGAUAAUAUAUUGAACCGCAUGGUUCAAUAGUGAAAGACGGUUUUGCUGUCACUUAUAGAUGGAUCCGCGCCGCAUUAGCUAGUUGGUAAGGUAACGGCUUACCAAGGCAACGAUGCGUAGCCGACCUGAGAGGGUGAUCGGCCACACUGGAACUGAGACACGGUCCAGACUCCUACGGGAGGCAGCAGUAGGGAAUCUUCCGCAAUGGGCGAAAGCCUGACGGAGCAACGCCGCGUGAGUGAUGAAGGUCUUCGGAUCGUAAAACUCUGUUAUUAGGGAAGAACAAAUGUGUAAGUAACUAUGCACGUCUUGACGGUACCUAAUCAGAAAGCCACGGCUAACUACGUG